rnacentral:rRNA from 1 species
UACGGAGGGUGCAAGCGUUAUCCGGAUUCACUGGGUUUAAAGGGUGCGUAGGUGGGCAAGUAAGUCAGUGGUGAAAUCUCCGGGCUUAACCCGGAAACUGCCAUUGAUACUAUUUGUCUUGAAUACUGUGGAGGUCAGCGGAAUAUGUCAUGUAGCGGUGAAAUGCUUAGAUAUGACACAGAACACCGAUUGCGAAGGCAGCUCACAAAACUGUAACUGACGCUGAGGCA